GCCAGGCGCGGUGGCGCGUGCCUGUAGUCCCAGCUACUCGGGAGGCUGAGGUGGGAGGAUGGCUUGAGCCCAGGAGUUCUGGGCUGUAGGGCGCUAUGCCAAUCAGAUGUCCAUACUAAGUUCGGCAUCAAUAUGGUGACCUCCUGGGAGCGGGGGACCACCAGGUUGCCUAAGGAGGGGUGAACCGGCCCAGGUUGGAAACGGAGCAGGUUAAAACUCCAGUGUUGAUCAGUAGUGGGAUCGCACCUGUGAAUAGCCACUGCACUCCAGCCUGGACAACAUAGUGAGAACCUGUCUCA
rnacentral:SRP_RNA from 1 species